UCAAGUGAAGAAGAGCAUAAGGCGGAUGCCUUGGCACUGGGAGCCGAAGAAGGACGUGACAAGCUGCGAUAAGCUGCGGGCAGGAGCAAAUAUCCGCUAAUCCGCAGAUUUCCGAAUGGGGGAACCCACUUAAGGUAAUGCUUAAGUAUCGUCGCCUGAAUCUAUAGGGCGAAGGAAGGCAACCCGGGGAACUGAAACAUCUAAGUACCCGGAGGAAAAGAAAGAAACAUCGAUUUCCCAAGUAGCGGCGAGCGAACGGGAAAGAGGCCAAACCGAUAGCUUGCUAUCGGGGUUGAGGACACUCAUCACGUAAACGGAUCUGUAGUCGAACAUGCCUGGAAAGGCAGACCACAGAGGGUAAAGGUCCCGUAGACGAAACGGAGAGUUUGCAGAGUGUAUCCAGAGUAGGACCGGACACGUGUAACCCGGUCUGAAGCCGGGGGGCCCACCCCCCAAGCCUAAAUACUACCCAGUGACCGAUAGAGAACAGUACCGUGAGGGAAAGGUGAAAAGGACCCCGGGAGGGGAGUGAAACAGAACCUGAAACCUUAUGCUUACAAGCAGAGGGAGCGCAAGUGACCUCGUACUUUUUGUAGAACGGGCCAACGAGUUAUGGUAUGCAGCGAGGUUAAGGUGCUGGAGCACCGGAGCCGUAGGGAAACCGAGUCUGAACAGGGCGGUAAGUUGUAUGCUGUAGACCCGAAACCGGGUGACCUAUCCAUGUGCAGGUUGAAGUAACUGUAAAAGGUUAUGGAGGACCGAACCCAUAUCUGUUGAAAAAGGUUGGGAUGACGUGUGGAUAGCGGUGAAAUUCCAAUCGAACCCGGAGAUAGCUGGUUCUCCUCGAAAUAGCUUUAGGGCUAGCCUCACAGUAAGAUAUCCGGAGGUAGAGCACUGAAUAUUCUAGGGGCCUUCACCGGUUACCGAAAAUUAUCAAACUCCGAAUGCCGGAAUAUCAUAUGUGGGAGUCAGACUAUGUGAGAUAAGUUUCAUAGUCGAAAGGGAAACAGCCCAGACCAACAGCUAAGGUCCCAAAAUGUAAGUUAAGUGGAAAAGGAUGUGGAGCUGCAUAAACAGCUAGGAUGUUGGCUUAGAAGCAGCCAUACAUUCAAAGAGUGCGUAAUAGCUCACUAGUCGAGUGGCUCUGCGCCGAAGAUAAACGGGGCUGAAACUUACUACCGAAGCUUUGGAUACAGAAAUGUAUGGUAGAGGAGCAUCGUAUACCGGGCAGAAGCUGUGCUGUAAGGCAUGGUGGACUGUAUACGAGAGAGAAUGUUGGCAUGAGUAGCGCAAGGCAGGUGAGAAUCCUGCCCACCGAAAAUCUAAGGUUUCCUGAGGAAGGUUCGUCCACUCAGGGUUAGUCGGGGCCUAAGCCGAGAGCGAGCGCUGUAGGCGAUGGACAACAGGCAGAGAUUCCUGUACCACCGAAGGUCGUUUGAGUGAAGUGGGGACACAGAAGGAUAGACUGAGCACGCCGCUGGUAGAGCGUGUCCAAGCACAGAGGCAGAUUCUAAAGGCAAAUCCGUAGAAUCAAUGCUGGUGUGUGACGGGGAGACAAAAGUCGGAAGCAGUCGAUUUCACGCUGUCAAGAAAAGCCGCUAACGAGACCGGAGGUGCCCGUACCGCAAACCGACACAGGUAGAUGAGGAGAGAAUCCUAAGGUGAGCGAGAGAACUAUUGUUAAGGAACUCGGCAAAAUGACCCCGUAACUUCGGGAGAAGGGGUGCCUGCUUCGGCAGGCCGCAGUGAAAUGGCCCAGGCAACUGUUUACCAAAAACACAGGUCUCUGCAAAAGCGAAAGCUGACGUAUAGGGGCUGACGCCUGCCCGGUGCUGGAAGGUUAAGGGGAAGUGUCAUCUUCGGAGAAGCACAGAACUUAAGCCCCAGUAAACGGCGGCCGUAACUAUAACGGUCCUAAGGUAGCGAAAUUCCUUGUCGGGUAAGUUCCGACCCGCACGAAA
rnacentral:rRNA from 1 species